ensembl:lncRNA
UUGUUUGCUCUGAGGAAAGCCAGUUGUCAUGCUAGUAGUUUGCCCAUGAAAAAGUCAAUAUGGCAAGAAACUGAGGGAAGCCUCCAGCCAACAGCCAAGAAGAAAUGAGGCCUUCAGUUCGACAUCCGAGGAGGAACUGAAUCUUGAUAAAAACUACAGGUGAUUUUGGAGUGCGUCAUCCCCAAGUCAAGCCUUGAGUAUCCCACAUAGGGUCUCUGCCCUACAGUUUCUGAUGGAGUCAGGGGAAGAGGAGUCAUGAGCAGCAGAUCUAAAUUCAGGAGGAGGGAGUUGUCAGGGAAGGACUGCCCAGAAUAUGUCAACAAGAACAAGAGAAUAAUGAAGACUCUCCAACAACCCAGGCACCCUGACACAGAAUGCAGUCCUCCAUAUCUUGUCCAAACAGCCACUGCAUUCUCUUUUCCUUCCAGGUUUCUCUCUUUCCCUGAUCCUCACAGGAUGAAUGAUUUGUAAUUGAACUACUGAAAAUCUGCUGACCAAAUUUUAUUAAGCCUUUUAGUCUGGGCUCAAGGUUAUUUCCUUAAUAGUAAUUUCCUUGCUCCUCCAGGCUGCUUGAGAAACUGCAUUCCCAGAGCCUUGUGCAUAUUUUAACUGUCUCUGAUGUCAUAUUCAAUUUUAAGUUCCUACCACCAAUUAUCAUGCCUUGUGUAUGGGAGGUGACCAGAAAAUGUCAGGUGGAUUCAUGAAGGAAUCAAAAGAGUAUUUUAGUUCUUCCUAAGUAUAGACUGACACAGAUUUUUAAAAUUAACACUUGGUUAAAAAGCACUUGGAUAUUAUGAUACAUUGAUAUUUAUCUUUGGGUAUCACAUCCUUUUUCAGAAAACAUAUUAUGGUCUAUAUGUCUGUUUUGGUACCAGUACCACACUGUCUUGAUGACUGUGGCUUUGUAAUAUUGCUUGAAGUCUGGGAGAGUUAUACCUCCUGCUUGGUUUUUGUUCCUCAGAACUGUUUUGGCAAUUCUUGGUCUUUUGUGGUUCCAUAUAAAUUUUUGGAUUGCUUGUUCUAGUUCUGUGAAACAUGUCAUGAGUAAUUCGAUAGGGAUUGCAUUGAAUCUGUAUAUUGCUUUGGGUAUUAUGGCCAUUUUUACAAUAUUAAUUUUUCCAACACAGGAUCAUAGAAUAUCUAUUUCGUUAUAUCUUUCUUAAUUUCCUUGAUGGAUGUUUUAUAGUUCUCAGCACAUAAGUCUUUUACCUUCUUGGUCAGGUGUAUUCCCAGGUAUUUGAUUUUUUGGGGUGCAUUUUAAAAGGUAUUGUGUUUUUGUAUUCCUUUUCUAAUAUUUCAUUGUUAAUAUGCAGAAAUGAGACUGAUUUCUGAAUGUUAAUCUUAUAUCUUGCUACUUUGCUGAAUUUGUUGAUUAGUUCAACAGAAUAGAGAACCCAGAAAUAAACUCAGACACC